CAGUCGCCGCGGUAAUACGUAGGGGGCGAGCGUUGUCCGAAGUUACUGGGCGUAAAGCGCGCGUAGGCGGCUUCUUAAGUCUGAGGUGAAAGGUUCAACGCUUAACGUGAACAGUGCCUUGAAUACUGGGGAGCUUGAGUAUGGGAGAGGGCAGUGGAAUGGCUGGUGUAGCGGUGAAAUGCGUAGAUAUCAGUCGGAACACCCAUGGCGAAGGCAGCUGCCUGGCCUAAUACUGACGCUGAGGUGCGAAAGCGUGGGGAGCGAACGGGAUUAGAUACCCCGGUAGUCCCUGUCUCUUAUA
rnacentral:rRNA from 1 species